AUUGAACGCUGGCGGCAGGCCUAACACAUGCAAGUCGAGCGGAUGAAGGGAGCUUGCUCCUGCGUUCAGCGGCGGACGGGUGAGUAAUGCCUAGGAACCUGCCUGGUAGUGGGGGAUAACGUCCGGAAACGGGCGCUAAUACCGCAUACGUCCUGAGGGAGAAAGUGUGGGAUCUUCGGACCUCACGCUAUCAGAUGAGCCUAGGUCGGAUUAGCUAGUUGGUGGGGUAAAGGCCUACCAAGGCGACGAUCCGUAACUGGUCUGAGGGGAUGAUCAGUCACACUGGAGCUAGGACAGGGUCCAGCCUCCUACGGGAGGCAGCGGUGGGAAAUAUUGGACAAUGGGGCAAAGCGUAAACCAGCCAGGCCGGGUGGGUAAAGAAGGUCUUCGGAUUGUAAAGCACUUUGAGCUGGGAGAAAGCGCCGUAAGUUAAUACCUUGGUGGUUGGAGGUAACCAAAAAAAAAGCACCGGCUAACUUCGUG
rnacentral:rRNA from 1 species